UCUUCUAGAAACUAGGUGGUAAAGACUUUGUCAUGUAUUUCAUCUGAAUUAUCUCUUAUCUCUGUUUGUAUGUGUUAUUUGAGUACUUUUUUGAAAAAUUAUGUGGUGGUCCCUCAAGGUGUAUGUUAUCGUACGCUGAAUUCUUUAUGAAUGUGUGUUCAAUUUGAAAACUUUUCUUGGGUUUUUAUUGCUUGGUACCAACUUUCAUGGCCUUCACAUUUGAUUCUCUGUUUGGACCAAGUUUAAAUUCUUUGGAUAUUUUAAUUGACACAACGCUCAUGUGUAUAUUUUUGGUGGAAAAUAAACAUGCUUGAAUCCUUUUGAGAAAUUUACUUGUUGAUGAAGCUUUAGACUUUCCAUGAUUUAUGUCUUGUUUGAUGGCUUGUGUUGCAAAACAUGGACAUGGUGAAGAACACAAUCGAAUCCGAAGCAACAUCUUGGCACAAAGAAGGAAACUUGGAUCGGAAGAAAACUACAUAUUUGUAGUUCAUUAGGAAUAGGUUUUCAAUAAAAUUGUAAUGAUUUUUGUGCCCUUAUAAAACUACCAUGCUCUUCCUUGUAUCUUAGAAAAAAGGGAAGCUUUGUACAAUUUGUGAAAUAUUUGGUAUACUUUUUAUAUGUAAAUGGUUGUAAGUGACUUGGUUUAAAUAUGAAUGCAAUGAAAGUUAUUGAAUAUGAA